GAUUAAGCCAUGCAUGUCUAAGUAUAAGCAAUUAUACCGCGAAACUGCGAAUGGCUCAUUAUAUAAGUUAUCGUUUAUUUGAUAGUACCUUACUACUUGGAUAACCGUGGUAAUUCUAGAGCUAAUACAUGCUAAAAAUCCCGACUUCGGAAGGGAUGUAUUUAUUAGAUUAAAAACCAAUGCCCUUCGGGGCUCACUGGUGAUUCAUGAUAACUCCUCGAAUCGCAUGGCCUUGUGCCGGCGAUGGUUCAUUCAAAUUUCUUCCCUAUCAACUUUCGAUGUUUGGGUAUUGGCCAAACAUGGUUGCAACGGGUAACGG
rnacentral:rRNA from 1 species